rnacentral:lncRNA from 12 species
GGCUUGGCCAGGGCUGUGGCGAUGGGGACGGGGACGGGGACCGGGAUGGGGGCAGAGCCACUGGUUGCCCCUCCCCUUGAAGUGACCAGGGACUGAAAUGUCCAGGUCUGGACUCCAACCAGGGGUUUGUACCCACAAGGCUCAGGGACGACCUGGGAAGGGAUCUCCCAACAGUGGAUGCUUCCCCAGCCUCACUGUAGGCCCAGAUGGAUCCAGCAGGGAGGCAGCCUGCCAUGGGCCCCUGCUCAGGGGACCCCCAACUGGGCGGGGCCUCCUGGCUCCUGGGACUCACCAGCCUCCUCCUCAGCGUCUGCAGCACUGGCACCCAGGGUUCUGCAGCCCAUGGUUCUGGAGUUGAGGAUUCUGGAAACCCCGUUUCCCUGAAGGGGAUGCAAGGAGCUUCUGUGUUGUUUCAAGUGCUCAGAAACCCAGACUUGCCUGCAGGAGUCGAGCUGGAGAAGAUGACCUGGGGGAUCUCCUCCGGGGCAAACUACACAACCCUGCUGCAGGUCUCCCCUGGGGCACGCGAUCCAGAAUGGGUCAACUUCCAGGACAAGUUCCAGAAGAGGGUCCAUGUGCUCAACAUUACGACCCUGAGGAUGAACAACCUGACCCUGGAGGACACUGGGCUGUACCGGGCUCGGGGCUUCUACUCCAGAGGAAGACAAUACGACCAGGAUUUCCACCUGACUGUGUAUGAGCCCCUGCCCCUUCCCCAGAUCUGGGCCAAGGAUCGGUUCAUCACCCCAGGCUGGUGCAAUGUCACCGUGAAGUGUGACACCAUGGGAACCAGGGAGGACCUGACCCUGUCCUGGGAGAGGAAGAGACUCCCCAGGGAACUGGAACAACGAGUGGCCCCAGGACCAGCUCCCAACCCCUGGACCCUGGCUCUGAGCCUGCCCCUCAGCCAGCCCAGCGCCAGCCUCACCUGUGUGCUCAGCAACCAAGAGGACCAGAAAACUGUCACCUUGGACCUUGGGGACAUCUGUGGUCAUGAUCCACAGGGACAGGCUGAUGCCUCCCAACUACCCAGCAUCCUGGGGACUGUUGUGGUCCUGCUGCUGAUCCUGGGAGCUGGACUGUUCCUCUGGAGGACACGAGUGAAGAAGAGCCUGGAGCCUGGGAGAGGCAGGUUGCACUUCUCCUCCCUGGGCCCACACACCUCCCUCCCCUGGACCCUGGGCUCCCUUCCUCCUGCCUUACUGCUCAGGGGAUGUCCCUGCAGGAGGCUGGUGGGGGCGGCCAUGGCCUUGGGGUCAUGGAGGGGAGGGUACAGGUUUCCAGGGCUCAGACUUCAGCUCCCUCUGUGUAUGACCCAGGUGCAGGGUCGCAGGAGGAGCAUAGGGAUCCCGAUAGUGGCAUCUACUAUGCAGAGCUGAGCCAGCAGGGGUCUGGAGACAGCAGGGACAAGGGUAGAGGUGCAGCACAUCUGGAAGGGAACAAGCCUCUCACUACUGUCUACAGUGAGGUCCGCAGGGCAGGCGUGGCCCUGAUGAGGAUUUAAUUGGAAGAAGCCGGAGAAUCCCGCCCUCCGGGGACAGCUGUCUUGGGAGCAUGAUGCCUGCAGCUCUGGUCUCACCUCUUCCUCCUCUGACUCCUCUGGUGAGGGACUGGCUGGUCCAAGCAUCAGUUAGUGUCUAUGCUAAGUGGUUCUGCACACGUUUGCGAUUAGACAUCUGUAGGUCUUUCAAGAGGGGAAACUGAGUAAAUAAAUUGACAGAAACAUGUGUCA